AUUUUUUCUUUUAUUGUAAAGGCAGUUUCUUGAGAAAUGUACUAAUUAUUGAGGGCAGCGUUUAAUACUUAGUGUUUCCUUUGAGAUAUCUCUGACUUUCCAAAUAUGCGAUUUGAUUUCUUUUGCUACUAUGAAACCAAAUUAGACUUAUUUAUGUGAUUUAUUAUUUACUAAAUUAUAAAUCGCCGUGAUUUCUUAAAAUGGUUUCUUAAGUUGCAAAAAUUUAUACAGAGAACACGAAAGGAUCUUCUGCAAGAACUAGAUACGGGAGAGUUUUUCACUAUCCUGCAUAAAAGCUGUGAAGUCUACUUCCAAAAGUACUACUUUGGCAAGUCUCACAACUCUGUUCUCCAGGUUUUGUUAUUUUUUUUUUUCCUGAAGCAUAACAUGUAUUCUCUAAAGUGCACAAAUCUUAAAUGUGCAGCUGGACAAAUGUGAGCAAAAUGACCACACCUGUGUAUCUGCCAGCCAGAUCAACAUGCACACCCUCAGGAGAAUGACCACGACCACUGUGAUUACAGCCACCACCCUCAAAGGGCAGAGCAACCGAGAUACUCAACUGGGGCAUUGUAGGAGAAAGAUGGACAUGCCAGGCUGUUUAAACCAGGCCCAUAGAAUCCGUGGCACUUGAGUCAGCUGCUCUCGG
rnacentral:lncRNA from 1 species